UACGUAGGGGGCUAGCGUUGUCCGGAAUCAUUGGGCGUAAAGCGCGUGUAGGCGGCCCGGUAAGUCCGCUGUGAAAGUCGGGGGCUCAACCCUCGAAAGCCGGUGGAUACUGUCGGGCUAGAGUGCGGGAGAGGCGAGUGGAAUUCCUGGUGUAGCGGUGAAAUGCGCAGAUAUCAGGAGGAACACCGAUUGCGAAGGCAGCUCGCUGGAACGUAACUGACGCUGAGACGCGAAAGCAUGGGGAGCGAACAGG
rnacentral:rRNA from 1 species